rnacentral:lncRNA from 1 species
CCGGGAUAUUAUUCAGUUCUUGGUCGAGAUUGACAGACAUUUAGAUUCUAUGUUUAAUGAAUAAUCUCAUUUAUUACAUCAACAUUUUAUAUUAAAAAUAAAACAUAUAAUACAACAUUAAAAUAAAUAUAUGCUGCAUAACAAGCAUCCGUGUCAUUCAUUAAACACCUUUAUAGAAAAUGCACCCGACAUGGUUAGUAUUUCUCAUAUUGAAUUAUCACAGCAGGUAUAGGUUGAAACACUUUAAGUUCUUAUUCCUUUAAAAAAAGUUAAAGCAAAAUGAGUGCACACGCUGCAAUGCCUCGCUUUCUUAACUGUGCAGGAUUGAUUAAGUGUUGAAAGUCUUUAAGAUAAAGUCUCACAUACACUUAUCAUAAUCAAUGAUCCAUGAUUAAGGAAUCAUGGUCAACUAAACCUUAUCAGACAUGUCAAUCAAUACAUCAAAAACAGUUGCCCAAUGAACGAUGAAAUCAGGCAAAGGUUACAUGGUAGACAAUUAUGUACAUCUUAGUAAGCUACCAUUUGAUUUUUAGGGGGAGGGUCUAGGAUGAAAUUUGAAAAAAAAAAUAAGCAGGACAGGAGUUUUGAGUUAAAAAAGUCAGGAUAAACUAAAAUGAAAUGCAGGACCGAGUAGAGUGAAAAAUAUUUAAAGGCAGGACAAAGAUUACAACUUAAAAAAAAUGCAGGAUAAAACUUUUCACCCUAGCCUCCCCCCCAUAAAAAUCACACAGCAUUCCAUGCACCAGAUAUAGUUAACCUAUUGUUUAUAGUAUGAGAAACAGACUAAAUCAAUAAAACUUAACAUUGACAUAUAGUAUUUGAGAGGAGGACCAAAUAAUCAGACAUACUUCUUCACCUAACGGUCAUUUCAUGCACAAAAUAAAGUUAACCUAUUGCAAACAGUAUUUGUAAAACGGACAAGAACACAAAACUUUAACACAUGAACCAUUAAAAUGAAGUCAAGGUCAGAUGAAACCUGCCAGACUGAAAUGCACACUUUACAAUGAUUCUAAACACUACAUAUAUUUGACUUACUUUUUAUCGCAUCUGACAACCGACCGUGCAAGGACUGUAUAGCCAGUCAAGGACGUUAAAAACUCCCAUUUGUUGUCGCAUCUGAGAAACGGGCAUAAUCGUGUAACUUUAACCUUUAUCACUGAUCCAUGAAAUGAGGUCGAGGUCAAGUAAUUCCUAUCUUACCUCUGUUCACCAUAGUGAUAUCACACAAAAGUAGAAAAAUUACAAAAGGUAUCUUUAAACUAUAAACAUAAGAAUUUAAAAAAAAAACACAUAAGUUUUGUUUCAUAAAAAUAUAACAAAAAUACUUUUCUUUGAUUUUUAUCAUCAUUUAAUUUAACAAAAUGUUUAAUAUUAUUUGAACAUUCAGAAUAUUUAAAAAUUGUUAGUCAGGACAGCUUAUAUAUUUUUACUUUUUAUAUUGUAUACUGAAUUUGAUUUCCAAAUCAUCUUUAUAAAAGUUUUGUUUCAUUCAAAAGUUCGGAAAAAAUUAAAAUUUGGCAUCAGCAAUUUAUGUUCAUGACAGAUUAACUUAAAUUAUGAUUUCAAGUUGUUUUGUGUCAUUUUCAUUUUAAUGGAGGUAACAAUGUUAUAUUCUAAGCUCCGAUGGAAUCAAUGGUCAUUUAUCGCGUCGCCGGUAUACUGAAAUCACCAAUUGAAAAAUACAAUACAGUUAUCUCCUAAAUGAUGUUAAAAUGCAUCAUCAAUUCAAGUAAACAAUGGACUCCUUAUUAUGUAUAAACAAUUCAUGCAAACAAUAAACAAUACAUGGACUCGUUUUAUGUAUCAGCAAUGCAUGCGUAGUUAAGUUUAGACUAGAUAAUGAAAUGAAUGAAGAGUAAAUAAAAAAAAAAAAACUUUAUGACGGAAUGAUAAUAUUCUUUUUUAUCUUUGUUGAGAUUCGUUUGUUUAAUAUUUAUUCUAAUACAUUUCAUCUGGGACUAUAGUCCCAGAUUUCAUAAUGUGUUUUAUUAUAAUCAUGGUUACCUUUUAACUUAAAGAUACAUUCAUUACCUGGUAUAUGUUUUUAUUCUAUUUCUUUUCUACCAAAUUUAGUGUUUCGAAUAUUUUGAAAACACUUUAUAAACUUCAUAGAAGCUAUAUAUAAUUUUAAUGCAACAUCGUUUGUAACGGUCAUUUUGAUUGUAUAACAGGGGCGUAGCAGCCGGUACGGCAGGUACGGCACUCGCCGUACCAAUAAUGUUCGUUGGUACGGC